AGCUCUAUUUGCUUCAUCCAGGAUCUGGUCACCAUGGCUCAGUAACGUGUUUGAGUACCAAGUCAAGAAGAACUUCCCUUUCUCAGUGAGAAACUGGAUUUGGCUAAUCUUGGCUGCAUUACUUGAAGUCGGGCAACCAUUCAUGUGCGUUGAUAGCUUAUCUUUGGACAAUCAUCAUUUAUCAGAAAGGUCAGUAAUAAGGGUUUUAAAAUGGAUGAAGUUCCUAUGGGCUUUACCUCAACAGCAGUUCGUCCAUAAAAGAGAGGCUGGUUAUCCACACCAAGACUGAGAUAGCAGCAAUUGACGUUCAAGACUUAACUUACCUCUUGUUCUGCAAUGGAAGCCUCAGACGCUAGAGCUUGGGGAUUCCUCACCAUACCAGCAGCACUGAAUGCGAGAGCAUGCCUGAGUCCUGGCCUCUUUGCCGGCGCCGGCCCUGCUCCUAGUGCACCACCUUUAACUCGAUUAGCCGCCGAGGGCAUUUCCCAGUGAAAAUGCCUAUGGUGAAGCCAAAAUCUGUUUCCCAUUUCUCCUUGUGUUGAAUGUAUAAUGCUUGUCAUGCUGACUAUAUAUAGCUUUUUUCCUUUUCUUGCUAUUGUUAGUGUUCAACUGCUAUUAUGCUGAAAUAUAAUCGAGCUGAAGAGGAAAUUGAAGAGUGAAAGAACUAGUCGGGUGGAAUUUACAGAGGACCUUUCUUCUUGCAAGAGAACUCUCUGGUUUGUUGGUUCUUAUGUUUAAUGGUUAGAGCAUUUCUUGUGGACUCUAUGGACCCUGCGAAAGUGGUGUAUUCUUGUGGAGCUUCAAUGGAGUCCUCGCGUUUGCAUGCAACUGACCUUUUAAAGCACAAUAGUAAUU